rnacentral:rRNA from 1 species
GAUGAACGCUAGCGGCAGGCUUAACACAUGCAAGUCGAGGGGUAGGUUACUUCGGUAAUUGAGACCGGCGCACGGGUGCGUAACGCGUAUACAAUCUACCUUUUACAGAGGGAUAGCCCAGAGAAAUUUGGAUUAAUACCUCAUAGUAUUUUUGAAUCGCAUGAUUUGAUUAUUAAAGUUCCAACGGUAAAAGAUGAGUAUGCGUCCCAUUAGCUAGAUGGUAAGGUAACGGCUUACCAUGGCUACGAUGGGUAGGGGUCCUGAGAGGGAGAUCCCCCACACUGGUACUGAGACACGGACCAGACUCCUACGGGAGGCAGCAGUGAGGAAUAUUGGAC